rnacentral:rRNA from 1 species
UGNNAGUCGUACGGCAGCGCAAGAGAGCUUGCUCUCUUGGCGGCGAGUGGCGGACGGGUGAGUAACGCGUAGGAAUCUGCCUUGUAGUGGGGGACAACUCGAGGAAAUUCGGGCUAAUACCGCAUAACCUCUACGGAGUAAAGCAGGGGAUCUUCGGACCUUGCGCUAUAAGAUGAGCCUGCGUUAGAUUAGCUUGUUGGUGGGGUAAUGGCCUACCAAGGCAACGAUCUAUAGCUGGUCUGAGAGGACGAUCAGCCACACUGGGACUGAGACACGGCCCAGACUCCUACGGGAGGCAGCAGUCGGGAAUAUUGGACAAUGGGGGCAACCCUGAUCCAGCAAUGCCGCGUGUGUGAAGAAGGCCCUCGGGUUGUAAAGCACUUUCAGUGGGGAAGAAGGUUUUAAGGUUAAUACCCUUGAGAAUUGACGUUACCUACAGAAGANNNNNNGGCUAACUCUGUGCCAGCAGCCGCGGUAAUACAGAGAGUGCGAGCGUUAAUCGGAAUCACUGGGCGUAAAGAGCACGUAGGUGGAUAUUUGAGUCGGAUGUGAAAGCCCCGAGCUUAACUUGGGAACUGCAUCCGAUACUGGGUAUCUAGAGUAUGGUAGAGGGAAGUGGAAUUUUCGGUGUAGCGGUGAAAUGCGUAGAUAUCGGAAGGAACAUCAGUGGCGAANGCGACUUCCUGGAUCAAUACUGACACUGANGUGCGAAAGCGUGGGGGAGCAAACAGGANUAGAGACCCUGGUAGNCCACGCCGUCAACGAUGANAACUAGACGUUGGAGGGGUAACCCUUUAGUGUCGAAGCUAACNCGUUAAGUUCNCNGCCUGGGGNAGUA